CCUACGGGAGGCAGCAGUGGGGAAUAUUGCGCAAUGGAGGGAACUCUGACGCAGCAACGCCGCGUGAAGGAAGAAGGCUUUCGGGUUGUAAACUUCUUUGAUCGGGGACGAAGAUGACGGUACCCGAGGAACAAGCCACGGCUAACUACGUGCCAGCAGCCGCGGUAAUACGUAGGUGGCGAGCGUUGUCCGGAAUUACUGGGUGUAAAGGGCGUGUAGGCGGGGAGGCAAGUCAGAUGUGAAAUCCCGAGGCUCAACUUCGGAGCUGCAUCUGAAACUGUUUUUCUUGAGUACUGGAGAGGAAAGUGGAAUUCCUAGUGUAGCGGUGAAAUGCGUAGAGAUUAGGAGGAACACCAGUGGCGAAGGCGGCUUUCUGGACAGUAACUGACGCUGAGGCGCGAAAGCGUGGGGAGCAAACAGGAUUAGAUACCCUUGUAGUC
rnacentral:rRNA from 1 species